UACAGAGGUCUCAAGCGUUGUUCGGAUUCAUUGGGCGUAAAGGGUGCGUAGGCGGGCUAUUAAGUCAGUGGUGAAAGCCCCAAGCUUAACUUGGGAAUUGCCAUUGAUACUGAUGGUCUUGAGUACACUUGAGGUGGGCGGAAUGUGUCAUGUAGCGGUGAAAUGCUUAGAUAUGACACAGAACACCGAUUGCGAAGGCAGCUCACUAAAUUGUAACUGACGCUGAGGCACGAAAGCGUGGGGAUCAAACAGG
rnacentral:rRNA from 1 species